UGCACAGGUGGAGUCUUUAUUUCAGAUGGC
rnacentral:piRNA from 1 species